rnacentral:misc_RNA from 1 species
CCGAGUUUACAACUCCCAAACCCCCUGUGAACCUAUACCAUUACUGUUGCUUCGGCGGGUCAUUGCCCCGGGGAAAGGACGAGGUGCCGCCUAGGCUCCCCGGCCCGCCCCCGGAAACAGGCGCCUGCCGGGGGAAUCAAACUCUUGUUAUUUUAUGUAAUCUGAGCGUCUUAUUUUAAAUAAGUCA